AUUGAACGCUGGCGGCAUGCCUUACACAUGCAAGUCGAACGGCAGCGCGGGAGCAAUCCUGGCGGCGAGUGGCGAACGGGUGAGUAGUGCAUCGGAACGUGCCCAGUUGUGGGGGAUAGCCCGGCGAAAGCCGGAUUAAUACCGCAUGAGACCUGAGGGUGAAAGCGGGGGAUCGAAAGACCUCGCGCGACUGGAGCGGCCGAUGUCAGAUUAGGUAGUUGGUGGGGUAAGGGCCUACCAAGCCUGUGAUCUGUAGCUGGUCUGAGAGGACGACCAGCCACACGGGGACUGAGAAACGGCCCAGACUCAUACGGGAGGCAGCAGUGGGGAAUUUUGGACAAUGGGCGCAAGCCUGAUCCAGCCAUGACGCGUGCGGGAAGAAGGCCUUCGGGUUGUAAACCGCUUUUGUCGGGGAAGAAACGGCCUGGGCUAAUACCUUGGGCUAAUGACGGUACCCGAAGAAUAAGCACCGGCUAACUACGUGCCAGCCGCCGCCGUAA
rnacentral:rRNA from 1 species